rnacentral:rRNA from 1 species
ACCGAUCGCUGGCGGCAUGCCUAACACAUGCAAGUCGAACGAGACCUUCGGGUCUAGUGGCGCACGGGUGCGUAACGCGUGGGAACCUGCCCUUAGGUUCGGAAUAACUCCCCGAAAGGGGUGCUAAUACCGGAUAAUGGCUUCGGACCAAAGAUUUAUCGCCUUUGGAUGGGCCCGCGUUGGAUUAGCUAGUUGGUAGGGUAAAAGCCUACCAAGGCGACGAUCCAUAGCUGGUCUGAGAGGAUGAUCAGCCACACUGGGACUGAGACACGGCCCAGACUCCUACGGGAGGCAGCAGUGGGGAAUAUUGGACCAUGGGCGAAAGCCUGAUCCAGCAAUGCCGCGUGAGUGAUGAAGGCCUUAGGGUUGUAAAGCUCUUUUACCCGGGAUGAUAAUGACAGUACCGGGAGAAUAAGCUCCGGCUAACUCCGUG